UCUCCGUUGGUGAACCAGCGGAGGGAUCAUUACCGAGUUUACAACUCCCAAACCCCAUGUGAACCAUACCAAACUGUUGCCUCGGCGGGGUCACGCCCCGGGUGCGUCGCAGCCCCGGAACCAGGCGCCCGCCGGAGGGACCAACCAAACUCUUUCUGGAGUCCCCUCGCGGACGUUAUUUCUUACAGCUCUGAGCAAAAAUUCAAAAUGAAUCAAAACUUUCAACAACGGAUCUCUUGGUUCUG
rnacentral:misc_RNA from 1 species